UGUUCCUACGGGGGGCAGCAGUGGGGAAUAUUGCACAAUGGGGGAAACCCUGAUGCAGCGACGCCGCGUGGGCGAGGAAGUACUUCGGUAUGUAAAGCUCUAUCAGCAGGGAAGAAAGAAAUGACGGUACCUGACUAAGAAGCCCCGGCUAACUACGUGCCAGCAGCCGCGGUAAUACGUAGGGGGCAAGCGUUAUCCGGAUUUACUGGGUGUAAAGGGAGCGUAGACGGUUACGCAAGUCUGGAGUGAAAGGCGGGGGCCCAACCCCCGGACUGCUUUGGAAACUGUAUAACUGGAGUGCAGGG
rnacentral:rRNA from 1 species